AGUGAACGCUGGCGGUAGGCCUACACAUGCAAGUUGAACGGCCGCACAGUAAGAACCUGGCCUUAAGGGGGGCGAGGUGCGGACGGGUGGGGGAUAAAACGGAAACUUCUUUUUUGGGGGGGGUAACGGAGGGGAAACUAAGCUAAUACCCCCUACGGACUUCGGGGGAAAGGAGGGGAUCCUCCGACCUUUCGCCGAUGGAUUAGGCGAUGUCGGAUUAGCUAGUUGGCGGGGUAAAGGCCCACCAAGGCGACGAUCCGUAGCUGGUCUGAGAGGAUGAUCAGCCACACUGGAACUGAGACACGGUCCAGACUCCUACGGGAGGCAGCAGUGGGGAAUAUUGGACAAUGGGCGCAAGCCUGAUCCAGCCAUACCGCGUGGGUGAAGAAGGCCUUCGGGUUGUAAAGCCCUUUUGUUGGGAAAGAAAAGCAGCAGGUUAAUACCCCGCUGUUCUGACGGUACCCAAAGAAUAAGCACCGGCUAACUUCGUG
rnacentral:rRNA from 1 species